rnacentral:lncRNA from 1 species
CCCAUGAAUCGUUCUCUUUCAAUCUAGCUUUAUGAUUGAAUCUCUACAGCCACAAACGAAUUCAGUUCUUUCGUAUUUCCUCCAUCAAUUGUUACUGGUCAUUCAUACCUGAUUCAAUACACCAAUUUAAUUCCGAGAUACAUUUCAUACCGGCAAUUAUUUAACAUCGAAUCCAUCAUGGAACUGGGUACUCAUUUGCAGAAGACAAUGGAGAAGGGGAAACCAAGCACGGCCUCCGGCCGGCCACCUGAAACUCGCAAUAACAAGGACAGAUACGUUUUUGCAGUUUGAUGCUCUAAUUGUUUAGCCGAUUAGGGUUUUGGCAUGAUACUCAAGAGGAAGUUGAAAUAGACAAUUCUAAUUUAAUCAAGUGCAGUUUUUCCGACUAUGGUUCAAAGCAACAUUUGCACCUUUUCGAUAUAUAUGUGUUAUUGCUUAUUCUGUUUCUAAAUCUCUGAAAGAUAAGUCCAUUAAGCCUUCAAUUUAUGUUUUUUAUUCCUCCAGCAAAUUUCAAGGUUAAAUUGAGCAAAUUCAAGGUUAAGAUAGGGUUCCUCUCACUCUAUGAAUCCGCCGGUGAUGGUAGAAAUGGGUUUUGGCCUUUCAGCUAAAGAACCGAUGUUUGUGCAAGAUUCUGAAUUUUCAGGUUUUGAGUUUGUAUGAUUCGCAAAAAAAAACCAUACAAAUUCAAGUUUAUUGAUGGGUGAUGAUGGGUUUAACCAAACAUAAGCGACCAUUUACGUAACCCUAAAGCACAUCCCACUUGAAUCUGUACAGAGCGAUCUAUCUUCCGUCUAAUCAAGUUGUUGCGUGUUUGGAUCUUGAACGCAUAAACAGUAAUCUGGUAAUUCUAUUGCUAAUUAGCUACUUAUCUGUUGAUGUUCUACUUUUAUUUUAUUAUUUAUGUAAGGUUGGUUAGUCAAUGAUUCAAUUCAGGCUAUUUAGCUAAACAAUUAAUAACUGAAAAUUAGGGCCUUUUUGCUACUUUUUAAUUGAAUUUAUGUUUGAUUUAGGUUUCUGUUAGUGAUCGUAUGCACAGAUAAUUAUUGACUUUUUAGUUUUUACUAAUCCCACAUCAUGAUAUGUUUUUGUGUGACAUUAGUUGUGAAGCUGGAU